rnacentral:rRNA from 1 species
AUUGAACGCUGGCGGCAGGCCUAACACAUGCAAGUCGAGCGGAUGAGGGUAGCUUGCUACCUGAUUCAGCGGCGGACGGGUGAGUAAUGCCUAGGAAUCUGCCUGGUAGUGGGGGACAACGUUUCGAAAGGAACGCUAAUACCGCAUACGUCCUACGGGAGAAAGUGGGGGAUCUUCGGACCUCACGCUAUCAGAUGAGCCUAGGUCGGAUUAGCUAGUUGGUGGGGUAAAGGCUCACCAAGGCGACGAUCCGUAACUGGUCUGAGAGGAUGAUCAGUCACACUGGAACUGAGACACGGUCCAGACUCCUACGGGAGGCAGCAGUGGGGAAUAUUGGACAAUGGGCGCAAGCCUGAUCCAGCCAUGCCGCGUGUGUGAAGAAGGUCUUCGGAUUGUAAAGCACUUUAAGUUGGGAGGAAGGGCGAGUAAGUUAAUACCUUGCUGUUUUGACGUUACCGACAGAAUAAGCACCGGCUAACUCUGUGCCAGCACG